CCUACGGGAGGCAGCAGUGAGGAAUAUUGGUCAAUGGGCGGAAGCCUGAACCAGCCAAGUCGCGUGAAGGAUGAAGGCUCUGUGCGUUGUAAACUUCUUUUAUCGGGGAAUAAAGUGACGGACGUGUUCGUUUUUGUAUGUACCCUAUGAAUAAGCAUCGGCUAACUCCGUGCCAGCAGCCGCGGUAAUACGGAGGAUGCGAGCGUUAUCCGGAUUUAUUGGGUUUAAAGGGUGCGUAGGUGGGCCGUUAAGGCAGUGGUGAAAGUUUGGGGCUCAACCCUACAAUUGCCGUUGAAACUGGGGGCCUUGAGUGCAGUGGAGGUAGGCGGAAUGCGUGGUGUAGCGGUGAAAUGCAUAGAUAUCACGCAGAACCCCGAUUGCGAAGGCAGCGUACCAAGCUGCCACUGACACUGAGGCACGAAAGCGUGGGGAUCAAACAGGAUUAGAUACCCGUGUAGUC
rnacentral:rRNA from 1 species